AUACGAAGGGGGCUAGCGUUGUUCGGAAUUACUGGGCGUAAAGCGCGCGCAGGCGGUCUUCCAAGUCAGUGGUGAAAGCCCGGAGCUCAACUCCGGAACUGCCAUUGAAACUGUUAGACUUGAGGACGAGAGAGGUGAGUGGAAUUCCCAGUGUAGAGGUGAAAUUCGUAGAUAUUGGGAAGAACACCGGUGGCGAAGGCGGCUCACUGGCUCGUAUCUGACGCUCAGGCGCGAUAGCGUGGGGAUC
rnacentral:rRNA from 1 species